rnacentral:lncRNA from 1 species
AUGUGUUGUACCUUCAGAAUUCAGUCCUUGGUGAAAAUGGGAACGUUGAUCUUCACUUUAAAGGGGACAUGGGCAGCACUGCCCAGGGUCUGCAUUGGAGUCCUUGGUCAUGGUAGGGCACUCAAUCAGCCAGCAGUCAGGCCCUUUGCCUCCUACAAGCUGUGGGUAUUCCCCUGUGGGAAUAAACUCCUGCUGCCAGGGUUUGAGAUGAGCACAGGGAGACUCAGAGCUCCAGCAGUGAAUCUUAGAGGCUGUGUGUCAACUUCUCAGACUUUGUGGAUGAACUUCAAUGCAAACCAUGGAGGAUAUGUAAAUAAUAGAUGCUGUUUGUACACAGGAGAAAAUCUGACAGAUUGGGUGUGAGUCUGCAAAAUCUGGUGAGGAUACUGACCAGCUUCUCUACUCCUUUGGCUGAGACUUCCUGUGCAAAGUCAUGUCCCGUGCUUACUGUAAUUGGAGUUAUCUGAGCUAAAACAGAAGUUCAGCUCUGCUAACCCUUGGAAACUCAGUGAAUGGUUAAGUGGGGUGAGGCUGAAAAACUGGAUUUUGAUGCAUUUGGAUUCCUGCCUUCCCUGGAAAUCACUAUCAAAUGUACCCUUUGGCAUCUGAAAUACUUUUAAAAUGGGGUCCUGAAUGUGUUUGUUUUGCAGGAAUUAAAUGAGUUGCAACUCAAAAUGUGGAAUUAAUGACAAAACCUGUCCUGUGGCAAAACAUUAAGGCUAAUCAGCCUUAAAUUAAUAGCAAAUGCAGCACUGGUUAUGCUCCAGAGAGAACUGGGGAAAAAAAUAUACAUAUAUAUUCAGAGAUUUUUAUAAAAAAUAAAAUAGAUAAAUAUCCCA